UACGUAGGGGGCGAGCGUUGUCCGGAAUUAUUGGGCGUAAAGAGCGCGCAGGCGGUCGUUCAAGUCGCGUGUGAAAGCCCCCGGCUCAACUGGGGAGGGUCACGCGAUACUGAUCGACUCGAAGGCAGGAGAGGGUAGUGGAAUUCCCGGUGUAGUGGUGAAAUGCGUAGAUAUCGGGAGGAACACCAGUGGCGAAGGCGACUACCUGGCCUGUUCUUGACGCUGAGGCGCGAAAGCUAGGGGAGCAAACGGG
rnacentral:rRNA from 1 species